rnacentral:rRNA from 1 species
AGUGAACGCUGGCGGUAGGCCUAACACAUGCAAGUCGAACGGCAGCACAGUAAGAGCUUGCUCUUACGGGUGGCGAGUGGCGGACGGGUGAGGAAUACAUCGGAAUCUACUUUUUCGUGGGGGAUAACGUAGGGAAACUUACGCUAAUACCGCAUACGACCUACGGGUGAAAGCAGGGGAUCUUCGGACCUUGCGCGAUUGAAUGAGCCGAUGUCGGAUUAGCUAGUUGGCGGGGUAAAGGCCCACCAAGGCGACGAUCCGUAGCUGGUCUGAGAGGAUGGUCAGCCGCCAUGGAACUGGAACACGGUCCAGGCUCCUAAGGGAGGCAGCAGUGGGGAAUGUUGGGCAAUGGGGGGAAGCCUGAUCCAGCCAUACCGAGUGGGUGGAGGAGGCCCUCGGGUUGGAAAGCCCUUUUGUUGGGAAAAAAAAGCAGCAGGUUAAGACCCCGCUGUUCUGACGGUAACCAAAGAAUAAGCACCGGCUAACUUCGUG